AGAGUUUGAUCCUGGCUCAGGAUGAACGCUGGCGGCGUGCCUAACACAUGCAAGUCGAGCGGCAGCGCGAGUAGUUUACUACUUGGCGGCGAGCGGCGAACGGCUGAGUAACGCGUGGGAAUUUGCCCCAAAGUGAGGAAUAACUGCCCGAAAGGGUGGCUAAUGCCGCAUAUGAUCUUCGGAUUAAAGGAUUUAUCCGCUUUGGGAGAAGCCCGCGUCGGAUUAGGUAGUUGGUGAGGUAAUGGCUCACCAAGCCGACGAUCCGUAGCUGGUCUGAGAGGAUGACCAGCCAGACUGGAACUGAGACACGGUCCAGACUCCUACGGGAGGCAGCAGUGAGGAAUAUUUCACAAUGAGCGAAAGCUUGAUGGAGCAAUGCCGCGUGCAGGAUGAAGGCCCUCGGGUUGUAAACUGCUUUUAUAAGAGAAGAUUAUGACGGUAACUUAUGAAUAAGGGACGGCUAACUACGUGCCAGCAGCCGCGGUCAUACGUAGGUCCCGAGCGUUAUCCGGAGUGACUGGGCGUAAAGAGUUGCGUAGGCGGUCAAGUUAGCGAGCGAUGAAAACUAUCGGCUCAACCGAUAGCUUGUUGUUCGAACUGCUUGACUCGAGAGUAUCAGAGGUCGCUGGAAUUCCUAGUGUAGCAGUGAAAUGCGUAGAUAUUAGGAAGAACACCGAUGGCGUAGGCAGGCGACUGGGAUAUUUCUGACGCUAAGGCACGAAAGCGUGGGUAGCGAACCGGAUUAGAUACCCGGGUAGUCCACGCCGUAAACGAUGGAUGCUAAUUGUUUGAGGUAUCGACCCCUCGAGUAAUAAAGCUAACGCGUUAAGCAUCCCGCCUGUGGAGUACGGCCGCAAGGCUAAAACAUAAAGGAAUUGACGGGGAC
rnacentral:rRNA from 1 species